rnacentral:rRNA from 1 species
AGUGAACGCUGGCGGCAGGCCUAACACAUGCAAGUCGAGCGGCAGCGGGUCCCCGCGAGGGGAUGCCGGCGAGCGGCGGACGGGUGAGGAACACAUCGGAAUCUGCCUGGUUGUGGGGGAUAACGUAGGGAAACUUACGCUAAUACCGCAUGAGACCCUGAGUCGACGGACUGGGGGUGAAAGUGAGGGACCUUCGGGCCUCACGCGACCAGAUGAGCCGAUGUCGGAUAGCUAGUUGGCGGGGUAACGGCCCGCCAAGGCGACGAUCCGUAGCUGGUUUGAGAGGAUGAUCAGCCACACUGGGACUGAGACACGGCCCAGACUCCUACGGGAGGCAGCAGUGGGGAAUCUUGGACAAUGGGCGCAAGCCUGAUCCAG